UUUUGGGUUUUUGAUUCAAAAAUUUCUUGAUUGAUUUUUGGACAGGUUUUUUUGGAGGUUUUUUGGACGGGAAUUAAACUUGCCCUAAUAGUAGUAAGAAAGUUUAUUCUUUUAUAAACAUUUGAUUUGUCUCUUCUUUUCUAAAGAUUGUUGUUUGUUUUUGUUCUUUUACGGUGUUUAAAAUAGAUUUCUUAACUCUUGUGUUUUGUUGUUUAUUUAACAUUAUGAAACUUUCUCUGAUGUAAAAUCUUCAUUUUAGGAUUUACAUAGUUUUAAGCUUAUUUAGGAGAUAAGAAUGCAUUCAAGUCACAGAUCUCAAAUCUGAGUUAGGUUGAAUGGUGGAUUCUACAUGGGGAUGAUUGAGAAUGAUGUUUUAGCUUCAGGGUGAAGCUUUAAUGAGAGAGUGUGUGAGGAUUUGACUUUAAUGAGAAGAAGCAAAAUAUAAGAUGCAUAUGAUGUUCAUGUGAUAAGUGCCUCCCUCAACAUUAUAAUUUUCAACAAAGAGUUCUACAAUACAAGUUUUCAUUUAAAUGGUGAUAUUUGGUUUAAAAAAAGCUAAAAAAAUUGUACUAAAAAUUACUCUAUACAACGUGGUUGUUGUGUUUAGUAUUGUCCACCCAUUAUUUUUUCUUUUUAA